AGAAAAAUAAAAUGGCAGAAAAUAAAUGGCAGAAAAUAAAACCCUAAUUAUUACAACGCUUUGGUGCAGUUACAUAAUAAAGAUGGCGAAAAGUAAAACUGAAAAUAUUACAAGUUAAAACUUAAAAUAUUACAAGGGCGAAGCAGUUACAGUGUAUGAAUAACAUAAAUAUGAGCGAAAAUAGGAAAUAAUAAUAAGGUUUGUUAAGGUUUAAGAAAAGGUUUAUGGUUUAGAGGAAACAACACGGUUAAAGUUUUAGGUUUGAAAUUUAGAGUUUGUGGCGAAAUUGUCAGGGUUUAGGAAAAAUCAGGGUAGUUAGUUAUGAAAAAAAUGUGCAGAUCUAAAUAUAUGUAUAUAAAAAAAAAUAUGAAUUAAAAAAAAACAACGGCGUUGCUAGCGCAAAAUUGCGAUCAUCGCAACUGGAUCGGAUAACACAAAUGUCACGCCUCAUACACGUAUAUGUGAAAACGGCGUAUUGACACGAUCCGAUCCGAAAACAUAAUCAAAUUAUAACAUAAAAUAGAAAUAUAUAUAUAUUUAAC
rnacentral:lncRNA from 1 species